UGCAAGAAUUUGCUUGCAAUAACGUGCAACAAAUUCUGUUAACAGAUAGAGACCAUUAUUCACCGUCCCAGGGUAUCCAACAAAGAAAGUCUCGAUAUCUCGUUUAAUAUCGAUUUUACGAAAACAUCGAAUAGAACGAAAAAGUUCCAAAAUUUAAUUCUCGAUAACAAUCGUCGUAUACACUUUUGUCGCGGGAGCGAUAGUUAGCGAGAUACGGGGUUUUAGGUGAGAGGUUUCCGAUUUCAAUGUAACUGGUGUAAGAGAAAAGCUCGUAGGCGUCAGUGGGUUAAAAGCGAUCCCGUCUCGAUGGCAAUCGGGAUACGGGUUUAAUCCCGGGUCGAAGGCAAGUGUAACGGCGUCGUGUGCGGUCUGAAUGGCAGUGCUGUCAGUCAAAAUCUCCCCCAGCCGUCUCUUCCGUCCCCCCUCGGCCAACGAAUCCCGUGCUUCCUGGCCGUCGGCGGCGCUCGCGCGAAUUUCUGUCUUUUUUUAUUCGAAUGCACGCACGUACAGAGGCUACUGGCGUACACCGUCGAAAACGACGGGCAGUAAAAGAGCACAGAAGCGAUUCCCUCGCGAGGCGGCGCGCCAACAACGAUGCCAUAGUCGCCGCGAGCGGUGAGAUCCCGCGCUCCAGAAAUACAUCACCGAGACCUGUGUAGAAAAAGGGAAAGAGGACGACCCGGACGCCUGCCGUGGCGUCUGCAGAUUGAUCUCGUUUACACUUUACUGACUGAACGAGAGAAGUGGUGGCGGCGAAAGGGCGGACGGGGGAGAGGACGACGGAAGGGUGCGUGGGUGGCACGUUUAUACCCCUCGUCGAUUUCACCGUGUAUCGACGUCUCCGGAAGGAACGGAUCGUACUUAUAGAUCGUACUGCAAGAAGAUGACCGCGAGAAAAUUCUUGAUACGUACAAGUUAAUACUGGAACGAAGCAGAGUUUCAUCUAAGUUACUAGAAGAGGAUUGGUGGAAGAAGAUGACCUCGAGAAAAUUCUUGAUAAAUACAAGUUAAUACUGGAAGGAAGCAGUGUUUCAUCUGAGUUACUAGAAGAGGAUUGGUGCAAGAAGAUGAUCUCAAGUAAAUUCUUGAUACAUAAAAGUUAAUACUGGAA